GUUCUGUCUUCGGCCGAGGGGGGAUUCUGCCUACACGGUAUGAGUCUCGUUCCCUUUGGGUGUGCGGUGUCAAAGCCGUGCACUCUUAACGGUCGGACAAGUCCGUCGGAGUGUGGUUAUUGUUGGAAGGGCAACCGACCAAUGAGGCCACCGUAAUCGUUCGGGGUGCCUUUAAUCGGGUGUCUCGGGCGGCCGACAUAGUUUACUUUGAACAAAUUAGAGUGCUCAAAGCAGGUGACUACCGCCUGAAUAGUACAGCAUGGAAUGACGAAAGAGGACCUCGGUCUGAUUUUGCUGGUCUUUAACGGUCGGGCUUCGGCCCGGCCUAUGCAGACCCGAGGUAAUGGUCAAUAGAGACGGACGGGGGCAUCCGUACUGCGGCGACAGAGGUGAAAUUCUUGGACCGCCGCAAGACGAACGACAGCGAAGGCAUUUGCCAAGAAUGUUUUCCUUGAUCAAGAACGAAAGUUAGAGGUUCGAAGGCGAUCAGAUACCGCCCUAGUUCUAACCAUAAACGAUGCCAACUAGCGAUCUGCUGGUGUUACUCCCAUGACUCGGCGGGCAGCUUCCGGGAAACCAAAGUCUUUGGGUUCCGGGGGAAGUAUGGUUGCAAAGCUGAAACUUAAAGGAAUUGACGGAAGGGCACCACCAGGAGUGGAGCCUGCGGCUUAAUUUGACCCAACACGGGAAACCUCACCAGGCCCGGACACUGGAAGGAUUGACAGAUUGAGAGCUCUUUCUUGAUUCGGUGGGUGGUGGUGCAUGGCCGUUCUUAGUUGGUGGAGCGAUUUGUCUGGUUAAUUCCGAUAACGAACGAGACUCUAGCCUGCUAAAUAGGUGCCGGGUUUUUACAUCUCCUCGCAAGGGGAGAGUGGAGUGUGUGGUUGUCGGGAUCCUGGGCUGUGGUGGUCGUUUAGGCUGCGGGGGGCAACUCUCGUGGUCUGGGCGGCUGUCAUAGUUCACCCGGUGUACGCACACUUCGCGUCCGGCAUUUUUCUUCUUAGAGGGACAAGCGGCGUCCAGCCGCGUGACAGUGAGCAAUAACAGGUCUGUGAUGCCCUUAGAUGUCCUGGGCCGCACGCGCGCUACACUGAAGGAAUCAGCGUGUUAUUCAUCCCUGUCUGAAAAGACCGGGCAACCGCUGAACCUCCUUCGUGGUUGGGAUUGGGGACUGCAAUGAUCCCCAUGAACCAGGAAUCCCUAGUAGGCGCGGGUCACUAGCCCGCGUCGAUUACGUCCCUGCCCUUUGUACACACCGCCCGUCGCUACUACCGAUUGAAUGAUUUAGUGAGAACUUCAGACGGCUAUGUUUGUCCGGGGCAACCCGCGUUGAGCAGGGCUGAAAGAUGUUCAAACUUGAUCCUUUAGAGGAAGUAAAAGUCGUAACAAGGUU
rnacentral:rRNA from 1 species